GUAAGUGUGCAUUGACUGUGGGGA
rnacentral:piRNA from 1 species